AAGGCCGAAGUGGAGCAGGGUUCCAUGUGAACAGCAGUUGAACAUGGGUCAGUCGGUCCUAAGCGAUAGGCGAGCGCCGUUCCGAAAGGGCGGGCGAUGGCCUCCGUUGCCCUCAGCCGAUCGAAAGGGAGUCGGGUUCAGAUCCCCGAAUCCGGAGUGGCGGAGACGGGCGCCGCGAGGCGCCCAGUGCGGUGACGCAACCGAUCCCGGAGAAGCCGGCGGGAGCCCCGGGGAGAGUUCUCUUUUCUUUGUGAAGGGCCGGGCGCCCUGGAAUGGGUUCGCCCCGAGAGAGGGGCCCGCGCCUUGGAAAGCGUCGCGGUUCCGGCGGCGUCCGGUGAGCUCUCGCUGGCCCGUGAAAAUCCGGGGGAGAGGG
rnacentral:ncRNA from 1 species